UAGAUUGUAAAUUUCAUCCGAGGCAGCCAUGGCUAUUCACAGCUGGAGCAGAUUCUGUCAUUAAACUGUAUUGCCACUAAUGAUAGAUUCUCCAGGAAACUUUGAAGAAUCUCCUCGAGUCAAGAUACGUUGUGAUUGGCACGGCAAGUGUUCUAAAAUGAAGCCAAAGAAAAUGGGGGAGAAAAUAAGGUUCGGCUUGAGGAAUUUAUGCAAUAAAGCAGUUUUAUAUUUGAUUCCUUCUUUAAUUAUAUUGCGUGUGUUCCUAAGCUGCAACCUAUUAAUAAUUUUAGUUUUAUAAUGUUCUUUGCCACUACCUUUCUAUUAUUCAUUCUUUUGCUUUGCAGGUUGUGACAAAAAUUGAUUGGCAUCGGAAAGGAGACUAUUUCACUACUGUCGUUCCUAGUGAUAUCCUAAUUAUGAAUUUUAGUUGUACUUAUUUUUAGUCAUUCCUAGUGCCUAUUUUAUUCCUAGUCACCUUAUUUCAAUGACAAGAACAAGGGUUCUCAUGGCCAAUAUGUGUCUAUUAAUGGGAUUUUCAAUGUCUUGCUUACCACGCUAAUCCUACUUCUGAUUGGAUUUGCAGCUUCAAGAUAUCAAACUCUACACCUUCUAUAUGGAGCUAGAUUUGCAAAAGCCAUAUCCAACUCGAGGAAGUGACUUAUUGACAUGGGAGAGAACUUAUUGGUAACCAAGGACUUUGUGAAGAUAGCAAAUUUUGGCCUUGCUCGUGAAGUUCAUUCGAAGCCACCAUUCACAGAAUAGGUUUCAACACA